rnacentral:lncRNA from 1 species
AGAGGCACUGGAACACAUGAAGAAACUAAAGAGGACACUUCCCGAUUCUCAGCUUGUGUUACUCUUCAGACUCCAGUCACCUCCCAACUCAGGGGACAGAGAAUGACGCCUCCAGUAAACAGGCUACAUAGUCUCCUGACAUCUGUGGAUUCCUAUGAGCCAAGAAAAAUCACUAGAAAUCUCUUG